rnacentral:rRNA from 1 species
CCUACGGGUGGCAGCAGUGAGGAAUGUUGGUCAAUGGGCGGAAGCCUGAACCAGCCAAGUAGCGUGCAGGAUGACGGCCCUACGGGUUGUAAACUGCUUUUAUACGGGAAUAACGCGCCUUACGUGUAGGGCUUUGCAUGUACCGUAUGAAUAAGGACCGGCUAAUUCCGUGCCAGCAGCCGCGGUAUUACGGAAGGUCCGGGCGUUAUCGGGCUUUAUUGGGUUUAAAGGGAGCGUAGGCCGCAUGUCAGGCAUGCUGUGAAAUGUCCGGGUUAAACCCGGGCCUUGCAGCGGAGACGGGCGUGCUUGAGUCCGCGGAAAGCAGGCGGAAUUCGUGGUGUAGCGGUGAAAUGCUUAGAUAUGACGAAGAACCCCGAGUGCGAAGGCAGCUUGCUGCAGCGGAACUGACGCUGAUGCUCGAAAGCGCGGGUAUCGAACAGGAUUAGAUACCCUGGUAGUC